UCCAGGCAAGAGAAAAAGGAAGGAAACCCUCACAAAUCAGAAGUUAGUAAAAUAGGAAAGGAAAUUCAAAGCAAAUCAUAUGCAUGUGCCUUAAUUUGCAAUCAUCUAAGUUUACUCAACAAGUGGAAUGAAAGAAGAAGCCCCAAGCACCAAGAAAACAGAAAGCACGCAAGACCAAGGUAAAUCCGCGAUUUAGAUGGUUUGGCGAACUUGGAACGAACGCACACAAUAUCCGCUCACAAUGCGCUUCCGAAGUUACCUUCUUGAAAUGGGUCAAAACUUUGGUUAUAUUCUUAAAAUCAAGAACAUGUAAAUCUUUUGGUUGUUAUUAAGUCUAAUGGAAUCUAUGUCUAGAAAUCUUGUAACUAGAUAACGUCAAACAUGUUUUCCCCUUUUG